rnacentral:rRNA from 1 species
UACGUAGGGCGCAAGCGUUAUCCGGAAUUAUUGGGCGUAAAGAGCUCGUAGGUGGUUUGUCGCGUUGUCCGUGAAAACUCACAACUCAAUUGUGGGCGUGCGGGCGAUACGGGCAGACUGGAGUACUGCAGGGGAGACUGGAAUUCCUGGUGUAGCGGUGGAAUGCGCAGAUAUCAGGAGGAACACCGGUGGCGAAGGCGGCGACCUGGCCUGUUCUUGACGCUGAGGCGCGAAAGCUAGGGGAGCAAACGGG